rnacentral:rRNA from 1 species
GAUGAACGCUGGCGGCGUGCCUAAUACAUGCAAGUCGAGCGAACAGAUGAGGAGCUUGCUCCUCUGACGUUAGCGGCGGACGGGUGAGUAACACGUGUAUAACCUACCUAUAAGACUGGGAUAACUUCGGGAAACCGGAGCUAAUACCGGAUAAUAUCUUGAACCGCAUGGUUCAAUAGUGAAAGACGGUUUUGCUGUCACUUAUAGAUGGAUCCGCGCCGCAUUAGCUAGUUGGUAAGGUAACGGCUUACCAAGGCAACGAUGCGUAGCCGACCUGAGAGGGGGAUAGGCCACACUGGAACUGAGACACGGUCCAGACUCCUACGGGAGGCAGCAGUAGGGAAUCUUCCGCAAUGGGCGAAAGCCUGACGGAGCAACGCCGCGUGAGUGAUGAAGGUCUUCGGAUCGUAAAACUCUGUUAUUAGGGAAGAACAAAUGUGGAAGUAACUAUGCACGUCUUGACGGUACCUAAUCAGAAAGCAACGGCUAACUACGUG